ACGAACGUUGGCGGCGUGCUUAACACAUGCAAGUCGAGCGGUAAGGCCCUUCGGGGUACACGAGCGGCGAACGGGUGAGUAACACGUGGGUGACCUGCCCUUAGCUCUGGGAUAAGCCUGGGAAACUGGGUCUAAUACCGGAUAUGACCUCAUGACGCAUGUUGUGGGGUGGAAAGCCUUGUGCGGCUAGGGAUGGGCCCGCGGCCUAUCAGCUUGUUGGUGGGGUGAUGGCCUACCAAGGCGACGACGGGUAGCCGGCCUGAGAGGGCGACCGGCCACACUGGGACUGAGACACGGCCCAGACUCCUACGGGAGGCAGCAGUGGGGAAUCUUGCGCAAUGGGCGAAAGCCUGACGCAGCGACGCCGCGUGAGGGAUGACGGCCUCGGUUGU
rnacentral:rRNA from 1 species